CUUCCCAGUCACCCUCAGCUUCCCAGGCCCACUCCACUUUCCACUCCCCUUCUCACCCCACCUCUCCUUCUCUUUCUGUGACCCCUUCUCCUCCUUCCCAUACCCCUUCUCCUUCAACUUCCAAAUCACCUUCUCAGCCCCCCUCACCCUCUAUUGGCCUAACAUUCUCUCCGCCCCCCUCGCCCUCUCAAUCAGACCCACUCUCUGAAAUAACAUCCCCAAUCCCUCCUCCUUCCCCCAUCCAGCCUCCUUCCCCCAUCCCUCCUCCUUCCCCAAUCCCUCCUCCUUCCCCCAUCCAGCCGCCUUCCCCCAUCCAGCUGGCAUCACCACCCAGCGAAUGGGCUGAAGAAGCCCCAGAUGGGCUAAGUGACAAUGUUGUGGAGGAAAAUUCUGCAGUUGGAGAUCCCAGCACUUUGCCUGAACUUUUAGGGCGGCUGAAAGCCCAUUUAAGGGAAGUGUUAGCAGAUAUCGAGGCAAUCGAAAAAAAUCUGUGAUAUUUUUAUUUUAAUUUUGUUAAAAGUUUCUUUAAAAAAAAAAAAACAAUCUAAAAAAUAAAAUAAAAUUGUUGAAGUUAA